rnacentral:rRNA from 1 species
UACGUAGGGGGCAAGCGUUGUCCGGAUUUAUUGGGCGUAAAGAGCGUGUAGGCGGCCAGACAGGUCAGCUGUGAAAACUCGAGGCUCAACCUCGAGACGUCGGUUGAAACCGUCUGGCUAGAGUCCGGAAGAGGAGAGUGGAAUUCCCGGUGUAGCGGUGAAAUGCGCAGAUAUCGGGAAGAACACCCGUGGCGAAGGCGGCUCUCUGGGACGGUACUGACACUGAGACGCGAAAGCGUGGGGAGCGAACGGG